AUUGAACGCUGGCGGCAUGCCUUACACAUGCAAGUCGAACGGCAGCACGGGUGCUUGCACCUGGUGGCGAGUGGCGAACGGGUGAGUAAUACAUCGGAACAUGUCCUGUAGUGGGGGAUAGCCCGGCGAAAGCCGGAUUAAUACCGCAUACGAUCUACGGAUGAAAGCGGGGGACCUUCGGGCCUCGCGCUAUAGGGUUGGCCGAUGGCUGAUUAGCUAGUUGGUGGGGUAAAGGCCUACCAAGGCGACGAUCAGUAGCUGGUCUGAGAGGACGACCAGCCACACUGGGACUGAGACACGGCCCAGACUCCUACGGGAGGCAGCAGUGGGGAAUUUUGGACAAUGGGCGAAAGCCUGAGCCAGCAAUGCCGCGUGUGUGAAGAAGGCCUUCGGGUUGUAAAGCACUUUUGUCCGGAAAGAAAUCCUUGGCUCUAAUACAGUCGGGGGAUGACGGUACCGGAAGAAUAAGCACCGGCUAACUACGU
rnacentral:rRNA from 1 species